UACGUAGGGAGCAAGCGUUGUCCGGGAUCAUUGGGCGUAAAGCGCGCGUAGGUGGCCAUUUAAGUCCGCUGUGAAAGUCAAAGGCUCAACCUUUGAAAGCCGGUGGAUACUGGAUGGCUAGAGUACGGAAGAGGCGAGUGGAAUUCCUGGUGUAGCGGUGGAAUGCGCAGAUAUCAGGAGGAACACCAAUAGCGAAGGCAGCUCGCUGGGACGUUACUGACACUGAGGCGCGAAAGCGUGGGGAGCGAACAGG
rnacentral:rRNA from 1 species